GAAAAAUAUUGGGCCUGAUUCUCCUCUUUGCAGUGGUGUAAAUCAGAAGUAACUCCACUUAGGUCUUACUCUGUGCCGGAGCAUCCCACUGACAUUCCAGCUUACUCAUGGCAUUUCUAGAAAACCCUGUUAUCCUGAUGUAUCCUUUCUAAAAUAUCCUGCAAGGACAGUGGAGCUACAAUGUCAUUCCCAGAAGGAUGACAAUAACAUUGAAGGGGUAGCCAACACACAGGAGGGCAGAACCAAACUCAAAAUGGCCUGGAAAGAAGUGAAUGGUGGCAGUGGCUUCAAGAGCAGGUGAGGAAGAGGAAUGUGAAACAGAACGAUCAGAUUUCAUUAGAAAACGUACAGAAGUAAUGGAAGCAGUCAUUACAUUAAUCCAGAAAAAUUUCUUCAGAAAAAAUUUACUUAAAGUCAGCAGGUGAUAAAAGAGUGGACAAAAGAAACAACUCUGAGCAUCUCUUCCAUGUGACAGAAAGGAACAGAAAUGUAGAGUUGUUACAGCUGGGAGUUUUCAGUGAGAUAUCAAAUGGCACAGUGAGGGGAAAAAGCAGCAUAAAGCUAUCCCAGCAAGUCUGUUCUGAUUCAGACAUAAAUGUCUGAAUUUCACACUAUACAAUAUAUAGAAAAACAUC